GAUGAAGAACGUAGCGAAAUGCGAUAACUAAUGUGAAUUGCAGAAUUCCGUGAAUCAUCGAGUCUUUGAACGCACAUUGCGCCCCCUGGUAUUCCGGGGGGCAUGCCUGUCCGAGCGUCAUUACAACCCUCAAGCCCGGCUUGUGUAAUGGGCGGCCGUCUCUCCCCCCGGGGGGAGACGCCCCCGAAACUCAGUGGGGAUGUCGCGAUACCGAAGCCUCAGCUAAUGGGUAAACCACAGCUGCAAUGGCCGCGGCCGGCGUCCGCCUUCCACGGUCCGUCCGCCUAGCGCGGGCGGCCUUCUCAAGGUUGACCUCGGAUCAGGUAGGGAUACCCGCUGAACUUAAGCAUAUCAAAAGCGGAGGA
rnacentral:misc_RNA from 1 species